AAAAUCACUUUACUGGCACUAUAUAUAGAUGAACAUUAAUUGGGAAUUGAAGACAUGCAGUGCCAAUAACGAUAGAAGCAUAUACUGAGAAAUGGGGUAUUCAGUGAGAGAACAAACGUGGUGGGUGGUGGUCGUCGUGGGAAUGACAAUAUUAGGGCUUCAUGUUGGAGGAGGAGAGGGAUGCUUGAGAGAAGAGAGAGAAGCUCUCUGAAACUGAAAGAAGCAUUCAAUUACCCAAAUGGCUCUUCUCUUCCUUCUGGAAUAACCUUACCAAUCAUUCUGAUUGCUGCACUUGGGAGCGUGUAGCCUGUGACAACUACACUCACAGAGUGAUAGAGCUUGAUCUGAGUCACACCAGACCUCAAGAGUUGAGACGCAUCAAAUGGUCUCUUAAUGCUUCUUACUUUCUCCCUUUCCACCAACUUCAACACUUGGAUUUGUGGGCGAAUUACUUGUCACAGUCAGGGCUGUUUGGCGAUAUUAGGCUCCACAGCUUGGAAUUGCUGUUUUUAGUGGGAAAUGAGCUCACAGAAGCCCCAUCUUUUGAUCUUUCUCGUUCACGCAAUUUGAAGGUUCUGAGCCUUCGUGGGAAUUUCUUGGAGGGUAGUCUUCCAGAAUCUAUUAUGUCUCUUCUUCCCUCACCUUCUUAUCAUUAAGCCACAACAACAUGAAUGGCUCACUGCCUAAACAAGGAGGCUUGUGCAAUAUGAAGAAUCUUCAACAAUUGGAUCUUUCCUUAAACAAUUUUGAGGGGCAACUUCCAAUGUGCCUUGGCAAUUUGACAUCUCUAAGUUUACUUGGUCUUGAGUCGAUCGUUUUGACGGAACCUUUCCUUCUUGACUCUUUCAUACUUUGAGAUCUCUAGCCACAGUUUCUUUCUCUGAUGACAAUUUCAGGGGCUCAUUCUCACUUUCUUUGCUUGCCAACCACUCCAAUCUUCGAGACUUUCACAUGUCAUGUUAUAACGCCAAUGUCAAGCUCGAAAACUGAGAAUCCCC